AUUGAACGCUGGCGGCAGGCCUAACACAUGCAAGUCGAGCGGAUGAAGGGAGCUUGCUCCUGGUUUCAGCGGCGGACGGGUGAGUGAUGCCUAGGAAUCUGCCUGGUAGUGGGGGAUAACGUCCGGAAACGGGCGCUAAUACCGCCUACGUCCUGAGGGAGAAAGUGGGGGAUCUUCGGACCUCACGCUAUCAGAUGAGCCUAGGUCGGAUUAGCUAGUUGGUGGGGUAAAGGCCUACCAAGGCGACGAUCCGUAACUGGUCUGAGAGGAUGAUCAGUCACACUGGAACUGAGACACGGUCCAGACUACUACGGGAGGCAGCAGUGGGGAAUAUUGGACAAUGGGCGAAAGCCUGAUCCAGCCAUGCCGCGUGUGUGAAGAAGGUCUUCGGAUUGUAAAGCACUUUAAGUUGGGAGGAAGGGCAGUAAGUUAAUACCUUGCUGUUUUGACGUUACCAACAGAAUAAGCACCGGCUAACUUCGUG
rnacentral:rRNA from 1 species